CAUGAAGUCGGAAUUGCUAGUAAUCGCGGAUCAGCAUGCCGCGGUGAAUAACGUUCCCGGGCCUUGUACACACCGCCCGUCACACCAUGGGAGCCGGUAAUACCCGAAGUCAGUAGUCCAACCUCGUGAGGACGCUGCCGAAGGUAGGAUUGGCGACUGGGGUGAAGUCGUAACAAGGUACC
rnacentral:rRNA from 1 species